GUGCUCUAGCUUGCGGCUUCCUUGAAUGGCUGACUCUGAGUCUUCCUCUAUCUCAUAUAACUCAGACUUAUCAUUAGGUACUUCAACAUCAUACUUUCUUAUGGAUGCAACUAUAACCUGACAUAUGCGAGUGAGGGGGCUACCUCCUGGCUUCUGAUUCCGAUACAACUUUGUACCUGAGAAGAAACUCACCACAGCAAUUCCCAUGGCCACUGCUGGAAUGCCAAAUCCCCAUCCCCAACUUACAUUAGUCUGUACCCACACCAACAGAGAAGCAGCAACAAGGGCACCAACAUUUAUUGACAUAUAGAACCAGUUGAAGAAAGAACUCUUGUGCUCCUUCUCAGUUUCAUCUGCAUCAUCAAAUUGGUCUGCACCAAAUGAUGAAGCACAAGGCUUUAUCCCACCAGUUCCAAGAGCUAUAAGGUUGGUUUCAUCCCAGGAACUGAUGCAGACAAUGUCAAGAGUGUCAUUCCCUAUGCAAGAAAAUAAAAGAUUUGGUUAUUAUUUCUCACAUUUUACAGAUUCUCUGAUUAUCUCUUCUCUUGACUCUACCAUGAUAGUAAACGG
rnacentral:sRNA from 1 species